GUCUCGCCGUGUGAUCAAAGGGCGCCGACACGGAGAAUGUGCUUGUGCUCCGAGGUCUGGGCCAGGCCAGGGGAGCGAGCCCACAGAACCAAGAGGGUUGAGAUGUGCUGAUGGCUUUGCAGCCUUCGGAAAACCAAGCCAAAGUCGCCUUCUGUCGGGCCUCAGAGCCAGGUGCCAUGGCAGAGUGACCCAUGUGUCCCUUGCAGAUGUGACAAGAAGAGCUAAGCUUAGCUCUUUGCACAGAUGAUAUGAGCACAUACCUGGAAAGCUCAAGCGUUCAUAUUUGACAAAGCAAAGAAGGACUUGAACCGGAAUGGGAAUUUUGUCGUGCGGACAAGUUGGAUCGAGGAGUAAAACAGGGAGACGAGGAAGAGCGUGUGAUCUCAUGUCACUGCAGAAGAAUGAUCAGUGAGGGCUCGUCUCUCCAUCUAGAAAAGCAGAUAAUGUUGGAGCCCCACCUGACGGCAUCAGUAAGUUCCAGACGUAUUAAAGACUGAAGUUUGAAGGUUUUUUUUUGUUUUUUUGUUUUAGCAAAAUAGGAACUGGGAAACUAUAAAAUAAAAUAUACACAUGUUAAGGGGCGCCUGGGUGGCUCAGUCGGUUAAGCAUCGGACUUCAUUCAGCUCAGGUUAGGCUCUCACAGUUCGUGGGUUUGAGCCCCGCGUCAGGCUCUGUGCUAUCAGUGCAGAGUCCCCUUUGUAUCCUCUGUCCCCUUCUCUCUCUGCCCCUCCCUCCUCUCAAAAAUAAAUAAAUAUUUUAAAAAAUA